GGCGAACGCUGGCGGCGGGCUUAACACAUGCAAGUCGAACGGCAAGGCCCUGCUUGCGUGGGGUGCUCGAGUGGCGAUCGGGUGAGUAACACGUGAGUAACCUGCCCUUGACUUUGGGAUAACUUCAGGAAACUGGGGCUAAUCCCGGAUAGGAGCCCCUGCUGCAUGGUGGGGGGUGGAACGUUUCGGCGGGUGGGGAUGGACUCGCGGCUUAUCAGCUUGUUGGUGGGGUAGUGGCUUACCAAGGCUUUGACGGGUAGCCGGCCUGAGAGGGUGACCGGCGACAUUGGGACUGAGAGACGGAGCAGACGGCUACAGGGGGCAGCAGUGGGAAAUAUUGCCCAGUGGGCGGGAGCCGGAUGCAGAGACGCCGCGUGCGGGAUGACGGCCUUCGGGUUGUAAACCGCUUUCGCCUGUGACGAAGCGGGAGUGACGGUAAUGGGAGAAGAAGCACCGGCUAACUACGUG
rnacentral:rRNA from 1 species